CAAAAAGUAGCUUAAACAAAGCAUUUAAUUUACAAUUAAAAACUGUCAAUCAAUCCUGACCUUUUUGA
rnacentral:tRNA from 1 species